UUGAGUUAGUUUGGGUACCUUACAAGUAUGGCUGUUGAAAAUGGGUCCAGUAUGGAGAACUUUUCUGUAUUGACUAGUCUUAGACUUACUGUCAUUUAGACUUGGACUUUUCUCAGUCUGAGAUAAAUAUGGUCUUGAACUUGACUGAGAGUUUGUAUGGAUGGAUCGUUGGAUGGAUGGAUGGGCUCUGGAAUGGAUUUUGACUCUUCCUCACUUUUAUUUGGACUCGAACUUGACUUGGCCUGACAUGGUCUUAACUAAAUCCCGGACUUGGCAAUGGCGGUCUGAUUAAAGGGCUGCCCAGACGGAGACCCAGGACCUGCUGGAGAGUCUAAAUUUCACAGUUGGUUUGGAAAUGUUUAGGGAUGCCCCACGAGGAACUAGAAUCUGUAGCUGUUCUAGAAAAGUCUGGUCUGACCUUCUCAACCUGUUCCCCUGCAACCCCUACCAGGAAAAAUGAUAAGCCAUCUUUCCUGGAGCAUACCAGGAGAGAUGGUGGAAACGUCUGAAGAGAUGGUGGAAACAUCUGGAGAGAUGGUGGAAACGUCUGGAGAGGUGGUGGAAACGUCUGGAGAGAUGGUGUAAACGUCUGGAGAGAUUGUGGAAACAUCUGAAGAGAUGGUGGAAACGUCUGGAGAGAUGGUGUAAACGUCUGGAGAGAUGGUGGAAACGUCUGGAGAGAUGGUGGGAACAUCUGGAGAGAUGGUGGAAACAUCUGAAGAGAUGGUGGAAACAUCUGGAGAGAUGGUGGAAACAUCUGAAGAGAUGGUGGAAACAUCUGGAGCGAUGUGGAAACAUCUGGAACGAUGUGGAAACAUCUGGAGCGAUGGUGGAAACAUCUGGCCAUGCUGAAUACACAAGUUUUUCUACAGUCUCUCUGUUUCACCAUGGAUGAAAAAAGAUUUUCUGUAAAAUAAUGUGUUUGGAACCAUUUGUACUGAAACUGGUAUUAAAUGUAUCGUAUCAAUUGUAUUAAAUGUAUUAUAUCAAAUGUAA